rnacentral:lncRNA from 1 species
UUUUUUUUUUUUUUUUUUUUGUAUUCAUGUUUUUAUUGUUAGUUUAAGAUAAAUAUAUGAUGAAUAUAACAAAAAUUUGCUGGUCUGAAGUUUUACUUAUGAUUUGAUAUUCGAGCCACACUACUAUUGCAGAGAAUAUUUUCUUGGACUGUUCGUGUAAUCAGAUAUCUGCAAUCUUGAGUAGACGUCAAGCAAUUUACCAGAAGUCAAUGAUUAACCAAUUCACUAAAAAAAGUUUGAAAAUAAGCUAAAAUUGGAUAACCACGAAACUUAUUCCUUGUUUGAAUUGCAUUUUUCUGGGCUUUUUAUAGAAAAAUUACUGUAUCGAUUUGAUAUAUGUGAGGUAAAAAUAUGAUUGAAAAAUAUGUCCACAAACAACGUAGCAAGUUUUCUUUGAAAACUAGCCAUGCUUCCACCUUGUAAGAUAAGAUAACUUCUUGCACUCACAAUCAGAAAUUAGACAAUCUGCAAAUUUCAGUCUUUUAUACUACUAACUAUUCUAUUGGGGGAGCUUUCUUACGCGCUCUAGGAUUGAUAUGAGAGGGAGAAAUGGUGCUGAUUUUUACCCAAAGAACUCAGCAAAGUAGUAAAUAAACAUAUCAAAAAUAUUCUUUCUCAUGGGUCACUACCCAUGUCCCUGUGUGUGGAAGAAGAAAGUGAUCUCUCUUUUUGAACUUUGGUUCCUUCUAUUCGUGGCCUCUUCUCCUUCUCUAGUUUCUAUGCUAAGGAAUACGACCACAUCAAGGACCUCAACCACUACUGUAUCAUAUUUAAACCAAAAAACUGAGGUCCGGCAUAUAACAGCAAAGAAUUGAAUAUAGGAUGGUAUAAGAACCAUUAACCAAAAAAAAAAAAGAGUGGGUACUCCUCAAAAAUUCAUGUGGUGCAAUUGGAUUAAUGGGUCAUGGGAUUAAUGUAUAAAAGUUGUUACCUCAGCCCGUUUAAUUAUUAUUCUGAAAAUUUCAAAAAAAAAAAAAAAGAAAAAAAAGAAGAGAGAAUCGAAUGAGAGCUUCCCGAAUAAUCUCCGUAACUAUCAACCGUCUCGUUAUUGCGGAUACUUUCGGCAAUUGUGGUUGUUGCUCACCUUUGAUUCAACAUUUUGACACUUCACAUGGACAUGAACAUGAUCGAUCAAUCAUUUCGUACUACCACACCAACUUCCAAAAUUAACCAUUACAUCACUAAUUAUUGAUAUUGUGACUAUUUUUCUUUCUCUUUGGAUCAAAAUCAGGAAUCCCAUGCACAAUUUUUUUAAAAUAUAUAUAUAGACGCUUUCUGAUUUGUUUCCUGCGUUAGAAAAAUCGCUACUGAAUAUCAAGUAAUUAUGAAAAUGCUUUAGCAUUUAUGACUUUUGUUCCCGUUUUGUGUAGAUAAAUAGGAGUACAAUGACAAAUAGAGAUAUUAAUUGCUAGUCAAGCUCAUUUUUUUUUUAUUUUUCUCUACUUAAGUUGAUAUUAUUAGCAGUAUGCCCUAAAAAAACUUAGAAGUACUUCCUAGUUUGUGUUCCAUACUUCCAUGGUGUUAAAGUAGUCAAAUUUUAAGACAUUUCCUACAUAGGAACUUGGUCCUCAACUAGGCAUGUCAAACCCAAGACCCGGCCAAACCCAAGCCAUUGAUCUAGUGAUUAAAGUUAAGACCCCAGAACGUAAAAGUUGUGGGCUCUAAUUCUCCCGUCUCCUUCUCACUUCUUUAAAAGAAUAUAUAUAUAUAUAUAUAUAUAUAUAUAUAGAGAGAGAGAGAGAGAGAUAGAAGUGUUCGUCCUAAGACCCUCCCCUCACAGUCUUAUGUAGCAAAGGUCCCAUUGAUGUUCCAAGAAGUCACAGAAUUGGCGAAGGACCGGCUGUUGAUGUGUUGUAUUAUUAGAAUAUGAAAUGAUAGUUCUGGAGGAGGCACUUAAUGAGUCACCUUCGCCCGUCAAUUGCCACUCUACUCUUCAUCAUGAAUUCAAGUGGUCUAGGGAUAAGAUCACAUUAAUUGUGGUCCAUUUAACAGUUUUUUAACUUUUUCCCCGCCUCUCAACAUCAAGAGCCAAAAAGAAAGUACAAAAACAAAAAAAGAAGAAAGAAACAAACCUCAUAGAACCCUCAAAAAGCUAAUCAACAGUGCCAUAGAUCCACUUUCAAGAAAGACAUCUUAAGUUUUCUCGUGAACAAAUAUUCCAGAAUUUGAGUGCUACAACAAUUAAUUAGUUUACCCAUAGUGGGCAGUAUUUUUAUUUCCAGUCAUUCUUAUUAAAUUUCAAAUAUUACAGCAAGUGAAAGUUAAAUUUGUGGGAAGAGCGAAAAGAAAGAAAGAACAACAUUAAUGAACAACAAUAUCAAUGAGAUACGAGGGCCUACACGAGAAAGGGUGGGCGAAAACUUGAGUAGUCCCGGUCUAUAUAUAUAGAACCAAUGGUUUGAAAUUUGUCGCACCAUUUCACCAAUUGAAGUAUUGAAAAUGUGGCAAAAUUUGAACCAUUGGAUCUACAAGACCGGGUCUACCCACGUCUUUGCAGUUUGCACAGACGUUGUGGUGCCUACAAGGGAAGAUAUUUUCUUCAGUUGGGAAAUUGACCAUUGAUAUGUGACUUGUUUCCAGAUUUAAUUAGCUUAAUAGUAAAUCUUUGAACCAGAAAAGAACCCCAACAAAAGAAAAAUGAAAAAAGACAUCUUAGGCCAGGAAUAAAAUUUUUUAUGUGAAUUGAGUCACAAUUAACCAGCCACAAAAGGUAUGCUACAAAUUUUUUUUUUUUUUUGUCUACCACUGUCCAAAUUAAACCACAUUUAUGAUGACAGUUACUCAAGAUAUUCAAAAGAUCCGACAUGUCAAAUUAUCAGAACCACUCUCAGAAAGUCCAAGGAUUAAAACCCUUUUAAGUUAGCUUGUAUUACAACCCUUUGGUUGUAAGUUGAAGUUGAGCCCUUCUCUAGGAACAUACACAAUUUCAAACAAAAUAAUGCAUGAAUCAAAAGAAAACCUGAAACUUGUUGCACAGAACAUGCAGGCCUUCUUUCGAUUAGCUGAGCCAAAAAUAGACGACCUUGUGUUCCAACUGGUCUUCAUGAAAUAGAUUAAAGUCCAUCCCAAGACCAAUUCAUUCUAAGAAGAAUGAAUACCCAAAGUUUUGGUUGCCGUAGUCGAUACCAAUGGAAUUGAACCACCGUAUUCUGGAGAGAAAAACAAUAAAAAGGAAAAAGUGAUAUGUGUAUUAUGUUAAAAAAUGCCAUAUAUUAGAAGAAAUACCUUCAAGUGAUAUCACUAACCUAGAUGAAGACUGAUGUUCCAAAUCAGAACUCCAUAUCAAGCAACAAAAUGAGGGUGUAUACAAAUGUGAAAACACCAUCUCCCUCUCCCCUGCAGCACUGGGCCAGGACAUUGACUUCGUUUAGACUGACCUAAUAAUAAUAAAUAUUCCAGAUGUCAUCUUGGUGAACUCGAGAACAGAACAGCACUCUGUACAAGAGGUUCCUUUGGAAGGUCCUCGCAGUCAGGAGGUCCUUGUAGAAGAGCUGCUCUGUGUGGAUUCAUAAGAAGAAGUUCCUGCACGUCCUUAGGAAGCAUGUUAAACACAGCCAGCAAAUCCCCCUUCAAUUUCUGAGCAGCAGCCUCAGAGUCUACAUUAGCAUUAGCACUACCAGACUGCUGUGGCAUAAGAAAGCAAUUUACCAAAGUUAUAUGCCCUGCUGUAGGAUGUUGAAAUUAAGUUAAAUGAACAAAAAUGCCUUAAUGAAGUCUAGCUCAACUAAAUGAAAUCAAGCUUAAUAUACAAAGGGUAAUCAACGUAUAACAAAGCCAAGAAAUUCGGGAGCGUUUAUGCCUUACAACAAGGUCAACAUGCAUGAUAAACAAGCUAUAUCAGCCAGUAAAGACUGUACAGUGGCACAUGGAUCAUCAUAAUUCUCCUUUAGCAAACAAACAAAUGUUUUUUCAUAUAACAGUUUGAAAGAAUAAUUUUUGGAAGUCAAAUAAAUUACACUAGAUUCAAGGCCUUUCUCAAGCUUUAACUUCAUUUAUCAUAAGGAUUGCCAGAAAUCACAAGAACAGUAUAAAAUUAUUACAUGUAAAAUUUCAAGUCUUUUGAACUCUUUAUCUGCAAAUGUGCAAGGACAAAUAGUUAUUAAGGUCCCAAGCAUGAUAGACUGUGCGGCAAACCAAGUCCGGAUUAGGUCUGUACUCUGUUUAGUUUCUUAUGUUUCAUCACUCCCCACAACAAUGAAGAAGAUAGCUUGCGAAAUGGAGAAAGAUAAUCAUAUUCAAUAAGCAAAGCUAUUAGUUACUAUAAUCCUAAUCUCUAAAACUGCAGUACAUAUUUCUAUUGCUUACUAGCACAAGAUUCAAUUUCAAUACAGUUAAAAAUAAUUAGUUAACGACAAGGAGUCUGUUGAAUGCAGAAAUGCACUUACCUGCAGUUCGCCAAGAAGAUGUCUCUCGAUAGCAUUGAAGGAAUCAACAAUUUCCACCUCUGACAAUUGUGAUAUAAAUUUUUUUAUGUCAGUCUUCAUUCUAACUUGCCUCCACAACCUAAGCUGUUCUUGCUCAGCAACAGCACGCUUCCUUCUAAACCAAGGCAAAAAGUUGUGUCCUUUCAUAAACCGCCUACAGAGAUAUGUUAACUGUCUCAAACUCAGCUAGAACCAACAUGUUGAAUGCAUCAGUCAAGAGUAUGUGCUGUACAUAAACUGUAUUUGAGUAUUCAAAGAAAGAAAACAAGGACAAAGAUUUAGCUGGCAAGGAUGACACCAUAAGCAGGUUACAAAAGAUGAAGACAUAAUUACGUUUACCGGUAUAAAUCCAGCCAAUUUGAUCUCAUCCUCUUGAGCAGAAACUUCCCCGGACCUCUUGCUGACAAGCUUGCUAAGAACUCCUCUUUAUCAAAAUGGGGAAGGGGAGGGGGGUCCAAAAAAGGAGAUGAUCCUUCAGAAGGUGUGGUUGCCCUGAAAUAUGGACCAAACGGGGCUAAAAAGUUGGUAGUGAGCUCCAAGAAAUGCCGACGGAGUAUCUCGUUGUUAACAACUGACAUUGAUUCCUCAACCCUUGGUGACAUCCCUGCAUCAAUUAGCCUAUUUAAAAUAGAUGUGUCUGGCUUUGUAAUAGCAGUAUAAGUGGACCAAACCGCUUCUCUGUGUUCUGUCAUGAGGCAAAGAGGGCCAUCCCUCCUCAAUUUCACGGCAUUCAAGAAAUUUGAAGGCGUGAACUUCUUCAAGGAAAGUUGUGGAAGCCCAAAUCCAUCUUGGCCAUCAGGCAUUUUGCCAAUGGAGGUCCGAGAAGACAUAGCAGGACGAUUUGAGUUUGAAGCAGGGCUUCCUACUGAAACAAUGUGAGGAACAUUACGAAGAGCCUUAAGGAAAAAAAGAUUUGUCACCCCCAAAACCAUUGGAGGGAAAGUUGCACCUUCUUGAAGUGAGUUUAACUGGGCAAAUUCUGGAUCAUGAAUCGUAAAAUAAGGCCUGAAAUCAACACUGCAAAGAAGUGGAGCGACCAAACUAACUAAACCAGCAACAGCUUCAGAGCACUGGGGAGGUGUAGGUGCUAUGACAAGAAUUGGUUCACCAAUGAGUAACAAUUCCCAUAGCCUCCAAAGCUGCAUCAAAAGCCCUCUAAAUAUACCAAAAAGGUCUGAAUCAUGGAACAGACCUUGUGGUACAGAUUGAUUAGAAGGAAGAAAAGGAGCUAUAGGUGAAGUUAACUCUUCAAAGAACAUUCUACCAUCUAAAGGUAAACUAUGAGCAGGUGGCAGGUGCACUUUAAGCGUGGCAUUCCCAAUAGGAAGCUCCAUAAGUUGACCAGGUAAAGGAGAAGCCCAAGAUGAUACUGAAGCAGCAAUAUAGUUGAGAGCUUUCUUCCCAAUGUCAAAAUACAAAGGGCCCAUGAUUUGUAACAAAGGUCUAAAUACACUAGAGUAUGGGCUAUGGGAAAGAAUUACAACCGAUUUUUGUUCGCCACCUCGCUUUAACCUUUCAUCAUGUCUCUGCCUAUUAAAUACAAAUCCAUAUAAAUACCUUGGAGCGUUAUUAGACAGCUUUAGAAGCUUAUUAUCUUGUGAUGCAAUCUCGUUAUCUACUUCAACUAUCUCAUGGGAGACUACAUUUGCCGUCUGCAUUUUCUCCUGCCUUCGUAUCCUAAAGAAGAAGAUGCAGUCAUGGAUGCUGGAGCGGUUAUAUUGUUGUGAAACAGAAUCUGGGAAUGAACUAAAUGCAACUUCAAGCUCCUCAUUUUGGGUCAGACACCCUGGUGGAUAACACUCUUCAAUGAGCUGCCCUUGCUCAAGAUCAAAUCUAAUGAUGCAAAAAGCAACUGCCCAUUGCUGAAAAGCUUUUUCAUCGACUUUUGCAUCAGGUUCUGACCUUGCAUGAAAUGACGGUGACCGACUCAUUUCCAGCUACUCCAAGAAUGGUUUUCCAAAUAUCAAACGACCCCUGUGUUCCCCAUUUUCAGAUUAAAGUGAGCAGGGUAUCCCUCAUUUUACCAACCUACACAGGAAAGGACAAAAAUUCAAAUAUAACCAAACAAUCCUAAAAACAGGACUACAUCAAGCUUGAUAUUAAUCUGUCAAAACCAGCUUCAGUAACUUUUUACAAUAAAUUACAUCAGCCAUGAGAGCGAACAGCUACCUCACAAAAAAGUAACCAAAAUGCAAUCUUCCAACAAGUUAGUAUGCAAUGCUUGAAAGUUGAAAUUUACUUAAUGCAAGUGGGACUCUAGAAAAUUAAUAAGUAAAGGAACAAACUUUCUUGAAUAAUGCACAAUAUACAGAAAACCCAGAUAAAUUCAUGAAGUUUCAGCCUCAAUUCAAAGAAAACAAAACAAAGAAAAGGAAAAUGCAACUAGGUACCAAAAUAGCCAACUUAAUUCAACAAGAAAGCUAACAAAAAUCUAGUUCUGACCUGAAAAUUGUCCAAAUUGACGAGCAACUAAUGGUUAAUUACUUCUAUUGAGGAAGUCCCAGAUGCCGAAUAUGCAAGAAACAAUCCGGAUCAACCCAAGAAACCAAAUUUAACACAAAAAAAUAAGCGGGUCUAAAGAGAUUAUUUAGGAGUACUAGUAAGAUCCCUGAAGGUUGCUAAAUAAAUGUAGGUUUUAUAUUUGGGGGGAGUGUGGAGAUAUCUAACCAAAACAUCCAGCUUUUAAGAUUUCCAAGGGAUUCAGUAGAAUAGAAUAGGAAAGGGUCUCUUUCAUUCAGAUGAUGAGUAUGAUUGGGCUUCCCCGAAACUGGUAAUUGAAGAGGGACUUCGGUUGUCUGGAAUUUUUAAUGUUUUUCCUUUUUUGUUAUUUUUCUUUUUCUUUGUCACAGUUUUUUGCUACGUUUAGCUGGGAAUUUAGUGGAUUUACCAGCAGGGGCUCUUUUUUUUUCUUUUUUUUUUUUUCAAAAGCAACCAAUAGAGGCUUUAUAAUUCAGAAUUUUGGAGGCCUUUUCGUUUUUCUUUCUAUUAUGAAAGGGAAAGAUGUGAGUAGGAUCCCCUUGGGUCAAGGGGAAUUUGGUAUGUUUAUUUUGUCUGUUUAUGUUACAAAGGAAGAAAAUUCAUCACAUCAAAUUUAAUUAAGAUUGGAAUUUGCAGUUUAUUCCGACAGAAAAAUUCUUUUUUUGUUUGAUAUUUAAAAUUAAAUCUCUCAAAACAAAAUCUUUUACAUCAUCCAAAAAAGUCUUUUUACGUUUGUACAUGCUUUAAGAAUUUGUUGAAUUCAUUGGAUUUUCUCCAUACUAGAAUGAUGUAGAACAUUUAUUGACUCCUAUCAAGCCAAGGAAAACACUCAAGAUUUCAGACUUAAUCAUUAGAAGAACUCUCAUAAUUGAGAGGCCUACAUGGAAUCCUACAUUUUUCAUAUUAAUAUCCCCUCCAAAAACAAAAAUGUUCACAUGGAGGUCUUAAAAUCCACAGAAUCAUUUGGCGAACGCCGUACGUUUUCUUGGAUGAUGAAUUAGUGAGACGGCAUCAAUCUACAAAUACAAAAGCAGUCCCAGUGCCCGCGGAGCAGAAGAAUGAGUGGCCAGAUAAACAUCUGCCGCUGGAAGAAGCUGAUCUGGAAACCCUUCCAAGUUCCAACAAUGGAGAGUACAUCUUGAAGAGUGAAUCUACAUUUUCAACUCAAUUUGCUUUGACAGGUUAAUAUUUCACAAGGAAGAGAGACCAAUAGCACAAAAAUUUUCUACUUAUAAUUACAACUUUCUUAAACAAAAAUCAGUAUCUACAUAAGAAAGACAAUAAGAGAUCACAGUAUGAAAAAGACGUGACUGCAAUCUAUAGAUGCCCUCUCUCUCGUUUCUGUUAGUUCAGUAAAGCGACACCACGUCCUGCUAAGUUUUGGAGAAAACUGCAGCAUUCAGUU